AACGCAUCUUGCGCUCCUUGGUAUUCCGAGGAGCAUGCCUGUUUGAGUGUCAUUUUGAACUCUCAAAGCCCACGUUUUGACGUGGGCUUUGGACUUGAGGGCUUUUGCAGGCUUUUGAUCAGAAAGCCUGCUCCCUUGAAAAUCAUCAGUGGUAUCUGGAGCGGAAACCGCUAGGUGUUGAUAACAUUCAUCUAUGCCUUUGGGUAUGCCGCGUAACAUGUGCUGCUUCCAACCGCCCCAUGCUCUUUGACAAACUUGACCUCAAAUCAGGUAGGACUACCCGCUGAACUUAA
rnacentral:misc_RNA from 1 species